AUCGGAUCUGUUGGAUUCACAACCCGUGAAUUUAUCCACUUCUCCCGAAAUACAUGAAAGACUACAAUAAACGGCUGGUUGGGACUACAACAAGCUUCUUCCUCAGUUGGUGGCAUCACUAACCCUAGAAUUUACAUAAAUCCUGCCCCCAAGAACACGCAACAAAGGGAGGCAGUACACACAGAUGGAGGAGAGGAAAACACACACUGGACACACACUGAACAGCAGCGUCCAGCAGAGAACACAGUCUGAUACACGAGGAGUGGAGAGACGGUUGAUUUUCAUGAGAGCAGUUUCUUAUCCAUACAAAGCGGGAACCAGUUAAAGAGUGAUCACAGUAGAGAGUGAUGUUGUCUCCUGGUCUGACAUUCAUCUCCACUUCUGCUCCAUAUAUUCUGAUCUGACUGAACAACAAAACACCUGUAAAAGUGUGAAAUAACUUAAUAAAGCACUUAAAUUUGAAAUAUGUACUACCAUUCAAAAAUAUUCACAGUAAUAUUGACAUUUAGGUCAAAAAAACUCUCAA